UGCAGUCGAGCGGUAACAGGGGAAGCUUGCUUCUCGCUGACGAGCGGCGGACGGGUGAGGAAUGUAUGGGGAUCUGCCCGAUAGAGGGGGAUAACUACUGGAAACGGUAGCUAAUACCGCAUAAUCUCUCAGGAGCAAAGCAGGGGAACUUCGGUCCUUGCGCUAUCGGAUGAACCCAUAUGGGAUUAGCUAGUAGGUGAGGUAAUGGCUCACCUAGGCGACGAUCCCUAGCUGGUCUGAGAGGAUGAUCACCCACACUGGGACUGAGACACGGCCCACACUCCUACGGGAGGCAGGAGUGGGGAAUAUUGCACAAUGGGCGCAAGCCUGAUGCAUCCAUGCCGCGUGUAUGAAGAAGGCCCUAGGGUUGUAAAGUACUUUCAGUCGGGAGGAAGGCGUUGUUGCUAAUAUCAACAACGAUUGACGUUACCGACAGAAGAAGCACCGGCUAACUCCGUGCCAGCAGCCGCGGUAAUACGGAGGGUGCAAGCGUUAAUCGGAAUUACUGGGCGUAAAGCGCACGCAGGCGGUUGAUUAAGUUAGAUGUGAAAUCCCCGGGCUUAACCUGGGAAUGGCAUCUAAGACUGGUCAGCUAGAGUCUUGUAGAGGGGGGGUAGAAUUCCAUGUGUAGCGGUGAAAUGCGUAGAGAUGUGGAGGAAUACAGGUGGCGAAGGCGGCCCCUCUGCACAUAGACUGACGCUCAGGUGCGAGAGCGUGGAGAGCACACAGGAUUAUAUACCCUG
rnacentral:rRNA from 1 species